rnacentral:rRNA from 1 species
AAGAAAGGGAACAUUUUUUUUUAUACCACGUCAAUUAAGGAUAGAUUUAGGAAAGUCAUACUGAGCAAAAAAAAUAAAAAAACAAAGAUACAACGAAGAGUUUGAUCCUGGCUCAGGAUGAACGCUAGCGACAGGCCUAACACAUGCAAGUCGAGGGGCAGCACAUGAGUAGCAAUACGAUGGUGGCGACCGGCGCACGGGGUGAGUAACACGUAUGCAACCUACCGGUAAAAGGGGGAUAGCCUCUCGAAAGAGAGAUUAAUACCGCAUAAUAUCAUGAUAAGGCAUCUUAUUAUGAUUAAACAUUUUAUGGUUUACCGAUGGGCAUGCGUAUGAUUAGCUAGUAGGUGAGGUAACGGCUCACCUAGGCAACGAUCAUUAGGGGUUCUGAGAGGAAGGUCCCCCACACUGGUACUG